rnacentral:rRNA from 1 species
CUACGGGACGCAGCAGUGAGGAAUAUUGCACAAUGGAGGAAACUCUGAUGCAGCAACGCCGCGUGGAGGAUGACGCAUUUCGGUGUGUAAACUCCUUUUAUAUGUCAAGAAAAUGACGGUAGCAUAUGAAUAAGCACCGGCUAACUCCGUGCCAGCAGCCGCGGUAAUACGGAGGGUGCAAGCGUUACUCGGAAUCACUGGGCGUAAAGGACGCGUAGGCGGGAUAUCAAGUCAGGUGUGAAAUCCUACAGCUUAACUGUAGAACUGCACUUGAAACUGGUAACCUAGAGUAUGGGAGGGGGAGAUGGAAUUAGUGGUGUAGGGGUAAAAUCCGUAGAUAUCACUAGGAAUACCUAAAGCGAAGGCGAUCUCCUGGAACAUAACUGACGCUAAGGCGUGAAAGCGUGGGGAGCAAAUAGGAUUAGAUACCCCUGUAGUC